AUUAUUAUUCUUUACAGUAUGUCUUUAAGUGUAACUUUGUAACAGCGCUGUAGUUGACGCACUUUAAGCUCUGUAUAGUACAGAAGUCACUUAUUGUGUGAAUAAAUGGCGUCGUGUAUGUGUUGGAAAGCUGGUAGGGUGCAUUUCAUUGCGUUUACAUGUGUGUAAAACUAGAUAAGUUAGUGCUUAAGGAGUUUUUCUGUUCGCACCACGUGUUCGUGUCUGUGUUACUGAUCAGCUCACCGUUUCCUUCAGAUACCGGAAGUGAUGCCCAGUCCCCCCCCCCCAUAUACAGUACAAAAUUAUUUUCUGUAUGUCCCCAUUUAAUGAACCCUGCCAAGGGGUCUGUCUUUUCUUCGUCUGUUCUAUUUAUUUGUCUAUUCCUUUUUAAUAUUUGUUUAAGGAAAAUCGGUGCCCCCCCCCCCCUCCAGUUGUACACUUGGUUGUGCCCAUACUCAACGCAAGUUCGUUGAUGUAUUUUAGCAGCUCAGUCUGUAAGAAAUGGAGACGGCAGCAAAGUGUAGAAAAGUGCAGCAGAACAUGAGGGGUUUUUUUGGUGUGUUUGGUUUUUUUCCAGACAGUAACUAGAUACCCAAGUAGUAGGUAACCUUAGCUUUGUAUAGAAGGCAUCAUACCAUGGCUUGGUUUCUUCUUAAGAACGUCAAUUAACUGUUGAUAUUUGCACACCCACGAAGUAGGCUAGGCUAAUGUCAGUUCCAGUUUUUGACCAUUAAAGUUACAUCACUUGUAUAUCCUCCCACUGAGUUCAUUGGACCCACCCCCCCCCCCCCCAAAAUGUCUAUACCAUGGUUAUGCCCUUGAUCUAAUAUCUAAUAUUUUAAUGAUCGUGUUUCACUUUGUGUUCACAGAUGGUGCUUUUGUCCACCCCUUCUCCAGGCUGAAUCCUGUGGAUCACCAGAUCACUCUGUGCGAGUGCACUGCUGGUAAGCUGAGUGACCUUCCUGUAGUGGUUGAAUAUGCCUUUACUCCAGCGGCAGUCAGCUGUGCAGGCCUGAACUGUGCCUGAGCUAGUGUUACUCUGCUGGAAAAGAAAGGCACUGCUGUUUAGGCUGUGUUCAGGGCUUGCUGUUUUAGCAGUCUUGUAGCACGGCCGUGGUAGAGUCUUGUCCACUUGAGAGUGGGCUGCUCACUUAAACCCAUGUGGGCCGCCCUAGUCUGUGGGCAAACAUUAACAUGAUGGAAUGGAAUGUUUGUGUUUGGGAAUGAAAGGUGAUCUUAAUCGAGUCGUCUCUUGCAGAUAUGUCGAGUUCCGUAGACACAUGGUCGUGACCUGCUGAAUUGAGUGCAGGCAGAAGGCAUUCCUGGUCUUAAGAGCUGUGGUUCAGCAUGGUGCUGUGCAGUAGGUGCAAGAGGAAUGAGGUGAGGCAUUCCUCCUUGUUCACUUAAAGCCUAAACCCCAAGUUGAUACCAUCAUGAUAAACUGUGUGUUUUCGUGAUGUUUUUUUAACCUUGGGAUAGCAUAUGCAGGACUGGCACAGGUUUUAGUGUGUGCAGUCGAAAAGAACCUGACAAGAAGGCCUGCUACAACUGUUCACUUCAUGCCACUUAAAAAAAAAAAUAAUAAUAAUAAACUGUUUUGGUGAUGUACAUGUGACUUAUUUUGUGUGUACCUGUUGUGUAGGUUAAUGUUGGGGAAGGCUGUUCAUUUUGUGCAAGAUCAAGGAAGACCGACUUGAUGUUUUCCAUGUUUGCAUGUUAAAGACCUGACCCGUUGAAUAAAGUGGAAUUUCAGUGUUAAUGAAUGUCUGUUCAUUUGAAAUUAUUUUGUAGCCUGUGUUCUAUUCAGUUAAUUUUUUCGGAGCAGUGUUUCGCAUUCCUGCUUCUGCAGUAUCCCUGCCCUGUACAUUUGGAGUGGGGGUGGAGUCUGUAAGGGCAAUAUGAGGAAUAUCAGUUUUCAAAUACACUUCUACAAUAUGCCUCAUGAUGUAUAGGGUUGCUCAGAAACUGCUGCCAAAUGCAGUGGUGUUACUCUUUAAUAUAAAUUUGAAUAAAUAUUUUUAUUUGGGAGAAACUAACACAACUUUAAGAGUUUAGAGUACAUUUAAAAAUUGUAAGUGACCCUUAGCUUGUAUCUGUAAACAUCUGUUUAUUUUGAGCAGGUGUGGUGGUCUCUAAUUUUUAUACAUGUAAUGUAAAAAUUUGUGUUAAAAUAAAGCUUAUAACCUAAAUCCUUAUUUCCUGACUGAAAUUGACAGUAAAUGUGUUUUACAUAUUUGGAGAAUUAAAAGCGGUCACUUUAUAGAAUUGAACAGUGCAUAUUGCACACAUUUUAGGCUUGUAUGUUAAAAUAACCUGUUGCUAUAUAACAUGCAUUAUUGCAUCUCAAAAUAAAGGUUGGUUCCUCCAGGUUUGUGCUUAUGGAUUUCACCUGGCAUUGACACUGGCAUUAAUAAGAUCAAG
ensembl:lncRNA